UCUGUGCUUCGGGCUGCAGCGGUCAGCGC
rnacentral:sRNA from 1 species